rnacentral:pre_miRNA from 1 species
GCAGCACCAGAAACCAGGGCUUGGGUGGUAGGAGGAAGGGGUGCUGGUCUUUCAAUUCUGGAUUUGACUCCAGCUCCACAGCCUCAGCCACCCUAGCCAAUUAUCGUGGGAAC